GUUUUCUUCUAUCAUUUCCUUCUCCCCUUUCCUCCUCUUCCUCUCGAAAAUUCUCGUUUGAUCUCUCUGAGUGGUUCUCUUCCAGUACCAGCAGCUGGUUUGUGCCCAAAUAGAUUUCAGUUUUGGCUUCAAUAAGGAGUUCAUUUUUUGGGUUCUAUGAUGUUUCGGGGAUCCAAUUUUUGGUUUCAAUUUCCUCCUGGAUCUUGGAAUUGUCUCGGUUUUGAAGAUGGCGGAGAGAGUGUUGGAAGAAGAAUUGAAGAUUGAACAAGAAAAGAUUAUGGCACAAAGAGAGAUGGUUGAACUACAACGCAAAAAAGAAGAGAGGGAUCAAAGGAAAGAAGACAUGGAAAUAAUGAUGAUGGAUUUAAGCACUAUGGGUGAGGUGCAAAAAAAAUACUUUGAAGCCCUACAAGUUAAAAUUCUUGCUAGAAUGAUGAAUGAGUAGUAUUUAAGUUGAAAGUGUAUGUAAUAUUUAGUUGUUACAUGUAUGCUCUUUUGAAACAAUGAUCUAAAUGUAUGCAUGUA